GAUGAACGCUGGCGGCGUGCCUAAUACAUGCAAGUCGAGCGAACAGAUGAGAAGCUUGCUUCUCUGAUGUUAGCGGCGGACGGGUGAGUAACACGUGGGUAACCUACCUAUAAGACUGGGAUAACUCCGGGAAACCGGGGCUAAUACCGGAUAAUAUUUUGAACCGCAUGGUUCAAUAGUGAAAGACGGUUUCGGCUGUCACUUAUAGAUGGACCCGCGCCGUAUUAGCUAGUUGGUAAGGUAACGGCUUACCAAGGCGACGGUACGUAGCCGACCUGAGAGGGUGAUCGGCCACACUGGAACUGAGACACGGUCCAGACUCCUAAGAGAGGCAGCAGUAGGGAAUCUUCCGCAAUGGGCGGAAGCCUGACGGAGCAACGCCGCGUGAGUGAUGAAGGUCUUCGGAUCGUAAAACUCUGUUGUUAGGGAAGGACAAAUUUGUUAGUAACUGAACAAGUCUUGACGGUACCUAACCAGAAAGCCACGGCUAACUACGUGCCAGCCGCCGCGGUAA
rnacentral:rRNA from 1 species